rnacentral:rRNA from 1 species
GAGUUUGAUCUUGGCUCAGAUUGAACGCUGGCGGCAGGCCUAACACAUGCAAGUCGAGCGGUAGAGAGAAGCUUGCUUCUCUUGAGAGCGGCGGACGGGUGAGUAAUGCCUAGGAAUCUGCCUGGUAGUGGGGGAUAACGCUCGGAAACGGACGCUAAUACCGCAUACGUCCUACGGGAGAAAGCAGGGGACCUUCGGGCCUUGCGCUAUCAGAUGAGCCUAGGUCGGAUUAGCUAGUUGGUGAGGUAAUGGCUCACCAAGGCGACGAUCCGUAACUGGUCUGAGAGGAUGAUCAGUCACACUGGAACUGAGACACGGUCCAGACUCCUACGGGAGGCAGCAGUGGGGAAUAUUGGACAAUGGGCGAAAGCCUGAUCCAGCCAUGCCGCGUGUGUGAAGAAGGUCUUCGGAUUGUAAAGCACUUUAAGUUGGGAGAAGGGCAGUAAAUUAAUACUUUGCUGUUUUGACGUUACCGACAGAAUAAGCACCGGCUAACUCUGUGCCAGCCGCCG